rnacentral:misc_RNA from 1 species
UUGUUGUUGGAUGGUAAGCUAUGGGUCUUCUUUCAUGAAUCUUCUGUGAAUUUCUUUUUGUCAUUUUUUGAGGGCAAAACUUUUAUUGUGAAUAUUUUUGUGGAGUCUGUACCAAGAAUUUUACUGGAUUACCUCAAGUGGACGUGCAAUAAUAGCUGGAGAAUUAGUCAUAUGAACUGAAUAAAUCUGGCAAAUGAAAUUUUUUUAGAGUAUGAUGUCUCUAUGUAUAAAACUCAAUGUUUAAGGAUAUUUGA